UCAUGUGUGCGUCGACGUAAAAGGGUUGGAUCCGAUGCCUUUAGGAGGCUACUAUAGGCUCUCUUUCUCAACUUCUACUUAAUACGUCCAGGACGUGCAGAACGGUAACUUGUCGCCUAGAUAUCCAAGCUUCCCAACCCCUUGGGCGGAUGGGCGGCAAGACCGAAUUCAGAGGG
rnacentral:ribozyme from 1 species